ACGGGUGCGUAACACGUGGAUAACCUUCCUUCAGGUGGGGAAUAACCCAGUGAAAAUUGGGCUAAUACCGCAUAACAAGACGAUGCCGCAUGGUGUUGUCUUCAAAGGCGCAAGUCGCCAGAAGAGGGAUCCGCGGCCGAUUAGCUAGUUGGCGAGGUAAUGGCUCACCAAGGCAUUGAUCGGUAGCCGGACUGAGAGGUUGGCCGGCCACACUGGAACUGAGACACGGUCCAGACUCCUACGGGAGGCAGCAGUGGGGAAUCUUGCACAAUGGACGAAAGUCUGAUGCAGCAACGCCGCGUGGGGGAUGAAGCUUCUCGGAGUGUAAACCCCUUUCGACCCGGAAGAAAGCCCGCAAGGGUUUGACGGUACGGGUAUAAGAAGCCCCGGCUAACUACGUGCCAGCAGCCGCGG
rnacentral:rRNA from 1 species